rnacentral:lncRNA from 1 species
GGAUUUUAGUUGUGACGUUAUUUAAGUUAUGACGUCAUAUGCAAUGUAAACAAAGAAACGCUAUCAUCAGGUAACGUUUUUUCAUAUCAAGGAAUUAUUAAAAAUGAGAUUGGUAUUGCGUUCCUUCCUAUUUUAUACUAGACUGAUAAAUAUAUAUUUUACUCAAAGUUUCAUACAAACGAGACCGGAAAAGGAAGUACAUUGUAUAUUUCUGCGCAGAUGCGGGAAUUCAAAACAUGACAUUAAACUAGAGGCUCUUAAGAGCCUGUGUCGCUCACCUUGGUCUAUGUGCAUAUUAAACAAAAGACACAGAUGGAUUAAUGAUAAAAUUGUGUUUUGGUGAUGGUGAUGUGUUUGUAGAACUUACUUUACUGAACAUUCUUGCUCCUUACAAUUAUCUCUAUCUAUAAUGAACUUGGCCCAUUAGUUACAGAGGAAAAUAUUUUGAUAAAAUUUACAAAAAUUGUUAAAAAUUGACUGUUAAGUGUAAUAACUCCUUAAG